GAUUAUGGCUCAGGAUGAACGCUGGCGGCGUGCUUAACACAUGCAAGUCGAACGAAGCAGUUAUACGAUCCCUCGGGGUGACGAUUACUGACUGAGUGGCGGACGGGUGAGUAACGCGUGGGUAACCUGCCUUGUACAGGGGGACAACAGUUGGAAACGACUGCUAAUACCGCAUAAGCGCACAGCUUCGCAUGAAGCAGUGUGAAAAGUUAUUUCGGUACAAGAUGGACCCGCGUCUGAUUAGCUAGUUGGUGAGGUAACGGCCCACCAAGGCGACGAUCAGUAGCCGACCUGAGAGGGUGACCGGCCACAUUGGGACUGAGACACGGCCCAAACUCCUACGGGAGGCAGCAGUGGGGAAUAUUGCACAAUGGGCGCAAGCCUGAUGCAGCCGACGCCGCGUGAGCGAAGAAGUAUUUCGGUAUGUAAAGCUCUAUCAGCAGGGAAGAUAAUGACGGUACCUGACUAAGAAGCACCGGCUAAAUACGUGCCAGCCGCAGC
rnacentral:rRNA from 1 species